GUUCCUUGUUAGAGGAAGGAGGCUUGGGCACCCUCUGCCGCAAAGCUUCGACAGAGCAGGGGCAGCGUGGUCGGAAGACAGAGCGAAGCUGGUGCGGAAGGGACAGCAGGGUCUCGACACAACCAGGUCUGGUUGGCUGAGCAGCCCUUGUAUUUCAUUCCGCUUUCCUGACAGAUUUGUGGUUGUCUGUUCUCAUUUUAUUUCAGCCCGUAUGCUUUAAAUAGACGGAGUUCAUUGCUGAGCGAUUCCUUGGGUGGUCUCACCUUGGAGUCUUCAACUGCUGUCCAGCUCUGCAGAAGCUGCACUUCGCACCUACUUUCCUUUGACUCUGUGCUAAGUGCGUCCCCUACCUGGUGUUCACCCUUACACCACUCUGCCUCCUGGAGUUACAUACCAGAAAGAAGGUGCAGAGCCACCAAACUUCCAGACCCAACGACAGCUUACUCCUGACAGCCUAUGACUCUUUGAAACAAUGCAAGAGGCAG
ensembl:lncRNA